rnacentral:rRNA from 1 species
GAUGAACGCUGGCGGCGUGCCUAAUACAUGCAAGUCGAGCGAACGGACGAGAAGCUUGCUUCUCUGAUGUUAGCGGCGGACGGGUGAGUAACACGUGGAUAACCUACUUAUAAGACUGGGAUAACUUCGGGAAACCGGAGCUAAUACCGGAUAAUAUUUUGAACCGCAUGGUUCAAAAGUGAAAGACGGUCUUGCUGUCACUUAUAGAUGGAUCCGCGCUGCAUUAGCUAGUUGGUAAGGUAACGGCUUACCAAGGCAACGAUGCAUAGCCGACCUGAGAGGGUGAUCGGCCACACUGGAACUGAGACACGGUCCAGACUCCUACGGGAGGCAGCAGUAGGGAAUCUUCCGCAAUGGGCGAAAGCCUGACGGAGCAACGCCGCGUGAGUGGUGAAGGUCUUCGGAUCGUAAAACUCUGUUAUUAGGGAAGAACAUAUGUGUAAGUAACUGUGCACAUCUUGACGGUACCUAAUCAGAAAGCCACGGCUAACUACGUG